AAGCAAAACUAAACAAAUGGGACCUAAUGAAACUUAAAAGCUUUUGCACAACAAAGGAAACUAUAAGUAAGGUGGAAAAUCAACCCUCAGAAUGGGAGAAAAUAAUAGCAAAUGAAACAACUGACAAAGGAUUAAUUUC